UACGGAGGGUGCAAGCGUUAUCCGGAUUCACUGGGUUUAAAGGGUGCGUAGGCGGGUUGGUAAGUCCGUGGUGAAAUCCCCAAGCUUAACUUGGGAACUGCCGUGGAUACUAUCAAUCUUGAAUAUCGUGGAGGUAAGCGGAAUAUGUCAUGUAGCGGUGAAAUGCUUAGAUAUGACAUAGAACACCAAUUGCGUAGGCAGCUUACUACACGAUCAUUUACGCUGAGGCACGAAAGCGUGGGGAGCAAACAGG
rnacentral:rRNA from 1 species